AAAGAAAAAAAAAUGGGGCAAGCUUGUCCUGCCAGGAGAGGAUGACUGGGACUAACCAACUGAGGAAACACUGUGUUUUCAUCUCCCAUGUAAUUCCCAAAUAGGACCUGUGUUUGAGCAGCAUGGCACCAUUUAUAUAAUUUUUUCUCUCUCUAGCUCAUGUAGGAUAAUUUGAGUUAAGUCCACUUACGAUGAAACGCCACUGUUGAUGGAAAAUAUUUUCUCUUGAGUGUCAUGCUUCUUAAUAUUUGGAUUUGAAUACAUUUGCUCGGUUUAACCAGAUUCUGUUUCAACUAGUCCCACCGAAACCAGGGUUUUCACUCAGUUAUGUUACACUGUACUAGAGUAUUAUGGCUCUACAUGUCUAAACAUCUUCAAUUGGAAUUUUGAAACAGAGCAAUGGGGCAUGAAUCCUGAGCUUUGUCAUUUAUUUAUGACUUGAGAAGCUCUCUGGAUACCAUGUGUAUCUCAAAGGAAACGGAGAGUGGCCUUGGCCUGUGGAGCUCUGACUCUCAAUCCCAUGCUCCUUUCUGUAUGUAUCUCUAGGAUCUGAGCGGAUGCCUGAAGGACCACACCUGAGCUUUGGCAAAGUAUUUUAUCACUGGGUUUUGCUACCUUGUUUUGUGAUGUCACAAGAGAAAACUCAAUUUAGGCUGAGGCUGAGCCCAGAUCAAUAUGGAGCUACCUGUGCCCCUGCCCUGUUCUUGCCCUGGGUCAUCCUGCACUCAGUGUUGACUUUGUGGCAUCUACUGAAAUACUUUCAGAAGGCAGAUACAUGGUUGAUGGAGCUGGGGUUGCCUGUCUCACUGACAGAAUGGUCAGAAUUCAGCCACUUAGAACCAGCAACUAGCCUACUUUUACUUGCUUUAAAAGGAAUCAAGACUCUUUGGGCUUCCAUGGAAAUAAGAUUUGUACCAUAUGUCUAAGUUGUGCAUGCCAAGGAUAAUGGAAACAAGACUGGCGAGGGGAGGCAUGGGUAGGACUUAAAAAUUCCAGAGGUCUGCAAAGGUUUCUUCUCAGGAUAUAUGAAAAACCAUCACAUAUCAUGCUGAAAUCAAGAUAAUAAUACCCUAUACCUGCUUUAAGGCCCAGCAAUUCCACUUCUAUGUAUUUAUCCAGGAGAAAUAAAAACACGUCUACUAAAAGACUCAUACAAGAAUGUUUAUGGAAACCAUAUUCACAAUAACCCCAAGCUGGAAAUGACCCAUAUGUCCAUUAAUAAGAGAACAGAUCAACAAAAUGUGGUAUAUGCAUACAAGGGGAUACUCCUCAGGAAUAAAAAAGGAACAAACUACUGGUAUGUGCAACACAGAUGAGUCUUGAAAACAUAUUGAGUAAAAGAAGCUUUAUAUAAAAGAGUACCUACUGCAUGAUUCCAUUCAUGUGGAGUUCUAGAACAGUUACAACCAACCUAUGGUGCAAAAAAUUAGAACAGUGACCAUCUCUGCGGGUGAGAAAAGGCAACUUUCUAGGAUGAUGAUCAUGUUUUCUAUCUUGAUAGCAGUUUGAGUUAGACAGACGUUAUGGACCAAAUUGUCUUCCCACAAAAUAUGUAUGUGGAAGCUCUAACUCCCAAUGUGACCAUGUUUGGAGACAGGGCUUUUAGGAGAUAGUUAAAUUUAUAUGAGAUUGUAAGAGUGGGGUCCUAAUCCAAUAGGACUGGUGGCCUUAUAAGAAGAGAAUCUCUCUCUCUCUCUCUGUCUGUCUUUCUCUCUUUAUCUCUCAUGAGAACAUAGAAGGCAGACACCUGCAAGCCAGAAAGAGAGCUCGCACUAGAAGCUAACCAUACUUACUCAUGGAUCUUGGAAUCUGAAGCCUCUAGAACUAUGAGAAAAUAAAUAUUGUUGUUUAAGCCACCCAGUCUAUGAUAUUUUGUGAUGGCAGCCUGAGCAGACUAAUGCAACACAUGCAUCCAUAAACACAACAACGUAGCCAGCACUCUGACCAGUGUACCCAAGCAGUCCCCUGUGCUAGCUUCCAGUUACCACCUUCUAAGGUAAACAUGCUCCUGAUUUUUAACACCAUCAAUAAUGAUACGACUUGCCUGCUUUUGAGUUUCACAGAAAUAGAAGCCUAAAGAAAAAUACUAAGAUAAUAAUACUAUAACUCAUUGUUUUGUUUUCAGGAGUGAAUGAGGUAACAUAGUAUACUUGGAAGAGUGCCUGGCAAGUAUUGGAUGUUGAAAUAUUGGUUCUCUUCUAUGACCUCUUUCUUCUUCCUGGUCACAGCAUGUAGCAGGUGGCUUAAUAAAGCAAGUUCUGUCUAUAUGACCUCCAUGAAAAGUGAACAGCCCUGCUCACUGCUCACUGACCAGCUGAUCUUCCACACACCCGAGUCUCUGAGAUGGAGCUAAAACAACUGUAUGCCUGGUUGAAAUGUCUACUUCCCAUUCAGAUAUUUAGACCUUGGUUAGACACCCACUAAAUGAGGCAUGUCUGUGCAAAAGCAUUCCAAACUGAGCAGAUGCAAAGAAAUAUUAUCCUUUAGAACCCAUUUGAUCCCUUUUUUAAACCCAAGAAAACAUAAAUGCAACAAUAGAUCAAUUUGACUGUAAAUAUUAUCUAAGUAUGUCCUUUAAAAGCCAAAGGAAUGUCAGAUACAAUUUAUUUUCCACCAGUGCAAGCUGAGACAUUAAGUGGCAAUUCUACUUCCAUUAGCUAAAUCUGGCAAAUAUGCAACUGUUUAAAGGCAUUGUCGAUAGCCAUUCACGAUUAAGUAUUUGUACUGAUGCCUUAUUAAAUUACCCUUUUCAAGUAGGCAUAAUAAACUAGGAGUUCACUGUGCAGAUUUUCAUGGGGAAAGUCAGAUCACUAUGGAAUUUAUUUAGAGAGAAUUUAGUGCACUGAGUAAUGAAGUAAAUGUCAAAUGUUUUGACCAAAUAAAUCUUAUCUUCCUUAAAACUUUUUUUUGAGGUCAAGAGACACAGCAAAAUAAAAAUCCCAGUGAUUAUAAUGGUCAUAAUUUAUAACUUUAUUGAAACAACUUUAAAACUUUGAUUGUUUUUUAAAUAAUGAAAUCUGUUUUGUUUUUAACUGACAGCAUUGCCCUACACAGGGGAUUUCUACUCUUCCUUUACAAAGCUGGUUUCUUCCAAACAUUAAGAUCUCUUACAGGGACUGAAUGAUAAAUGGAUGAAUGAGGAGGAUGAUGAAGGGGGAAGGUGAUGGAAGAAUUAGGACAAGGAGGCUAUGCAGGAGAUUGGUAAGCAAUGAGCUAAGAAGGCUUUGAGACCUAUUGAGAGAUUCUAAACUCCUGGAUGGGCCUAUCUGCAUUUUGUCUGCAAAGCAAUGGUAACUAGAAAAUUGGGCUGGGCGUGGUGGCUCACGCGUGUAAUCUCAGCACCUUGGGAGGCUGAGGGGGG
rnacentral:lncRNA from 1 species